rnacentral:rRNA from 1 species
ACCCGCUGAAUUUAAGCAUAUCAAUAAGCGGAGGAAAAGAAACCAACCGGGAUUGCCUUAGUAACGGCGAGUGAAGCGGCAAAAGCUCAAAUUUGAAAUCUGGUACCUUUCGGUGCCCGAGUUGUAAUUUGGAGAGAGUGAUUCUGGGACUGGCCCUUGCCUAUGUUCCUUGGAACAGGACGUCAUAGAGGGUGAGAACCCCGUGAGGCGAGGUGAUCCAGUUCUUUGUAGAGCGCUCUCGAAGAGUCGAGUUGUUUGGGAAUGCAGCUCUAAGAGGGUGGUAAAUUCCAUCUAAAGCUAAAUACAGGCGAGAGACCGAUAGCGAACAAGUACAGUGAUGGAAAGAUGAAAAGAACUUUGAAAAGAGAGUGAAAAAGGACGUGAAAUUGUUGAAAGGGAAGGGCAUUUGAUCAGACAUGGUGUUUUGUGCCCCUCGCUCCUCGUGGGUGGGGGAAUCUCGCAGCUCACUGGGCCAGCAUCAGUUUUGGCGGCAGGAGAAAUCCUCGGGAAUGUGGCUCUUGCCUCUGGUAGGAGUGUUAUAGCCCGGGGGAAUACUGCCAGCUGGGACUGAGGUAUGCGACAUUUUGUCAAGGAUGUUGGCAUAAUGGUUAUAUGCCGCCCGUCUUGAACACGGACCAAGGAG